rnacentral:tRNA from 1 species
AGGUUUUUAGCUCAGUUGGUAGAGCGACUGCCUUACAAGCAGUUGGUCAUCGGUUCAAGUCCGGUAAAACCUAU